UACGGAGGGGGCUAGCGUUGUUCGGAAUUACUGGGCGUAAAGCGCACGUAGGCGGCUUUGUAAGUUAGAGGUGAAAGCCCGGGGCUCAACUCCGGAAUUGCCUUUAAGACUGCAUCGCUAGAAUUGUGGAGAGGUAAGUGGAAUUCCGAGUGUAGAGGUGAAAUUCGUAGAUAUUCGGAAGAACACCAGUGGCGAAGGCGGUCUCCUGGGGCAUUCUUGACGCUGAGGCGCGAAAGCUGGGGGAGCGAACGGG
rnacentral:rRNA from 1 species